rnacentral:rRNA from 1 species
GACGAACGCUGGCGGCGUGCUUAACACAUGCAAGUCGAACGGUGAAAGGGGGCUUUGCUCUGGUGGAUGAGUGGCGAGCGGGUGAGUAACACGUGAGUAAGCUGCCCCUGACUGCGGAAUAACUACAGGAGACUGUAGCUAAUACCGGAUAUGCGCGGGAGAGGCAUGGGGAUCGUUGGGAAAGAAGUUCGGUCAGGGAUGGACUCGCGGCUUAUCAGCUUGUUGGUGAGGUAACGGCUCACCAAGGCAUCGACGGGUAGCCGGCCUGGGAGGGUGACCGGCGACAUGGGGACUGAGAGACGGCCCAGACUCCUACGGGAGGCAGCAGUGGGGAAUAUUGCACAAUGGGCGCAAGCCUGAUGCAGCAACCCCGCGUGAGGGAUGACGGCCUUCGGGUUGUAAACCGCUUUUAGCUGGGACGAAGCGAAAGUGACGGUACCUGCAGAAUAAGCACCGGCUAACUACGUG